rnacentral:lncRNA from 10 species
UCACAGGUUAAAGACGAAGAAUAAGGGGGAUCCCUGCCUUGAUGGACAAGGAGAAAAGCAGGGCCCUGAUGAGGGAGCCCCGCACUGCCAGGAUGGAGCAGGAGUGUCAAAGGAAGCCUUCCAACAGCGGUGGCACAGGCGCCAAGGCAACAAGGAAGGGUGGGAGCUCUGCAAGGCACCGGGCACUCCAGGCAGAAGGACCUGUGUGGGGAAAAGCAAGGCAGCUGGAAAAAGCAAGCGGAGCUGCGAAGGCGCCAAGAACACAGUGAGAAGGUAGCCAGGAAGAGAGCCCUCACCAGGAACAUAAUCUGCCGGCACUUUGAUCUUGGACUUCUAGCUUCCAGAACUAGGAGCAAUAAAUGUCUG